rnacentral:misc_RNA from 1 species
ACAGAGUUCGUGCCCUCACAGGUAGAUCUCCCACCCUGUGUAUCUCUACAUCUUGUUGCUUUGGCAGGCCGUUGCGUUCGCCAACCACCGGCUCGCGAGCUGGUGCGUGCCUCCAGAGGACCUCUCAAACUCGGUUUGUCAGUGUCGUCUGAGUACCAUAACAAUCGUUA